CGGAGGGCUAGCGUUGUUCGGAAUUACUGGGCGUAAAGCGCACGUAGGCGGACGAGAAGUCAGAGGUGAAAUCCCAGGGCUCAACCUUGGAACUGCCUUUGAAACUCCUUGUCUUGAGGUCGAGAGAGGUGAGUGGAAUUCCGAGUGUAGAGGUGAAAUUCGUAGAUAUUCGGAGGAACACCAGUGGCGAAGGCGGCUCACUGGCUCGAUACUGACGCUGAGGUGCGAAAAGCGUGGGGAGCAAACAGGAUU
rnacentral:rRNA from 1 species